AUUGAACGCUGGCGGCAUGCUUUACACAUGCAAGUCGAACGGUAGAGGGGGCAACCCCUUGAGAGUGGCGAACGGGUGAGUAGUGCAUCGGAACGUGCCCAGUCGUGGGGGAUAGCCCGGGGAAACCCGGGUUAAUACCGCAUACGACCGGAGGGUGAAAGCGGGGGACCGAAAGGCCUCGCGCGCUUGCAGCGGGCGGUGUCGGAUUAGGUAGUUGGUGGGGUAAAGGCCUACCAAGCCUGCGAUCCGUAGCUGGUCUGAGAGGACGACCAGCCACACUGGGACUGAGACACGGCCCAGACUCCUACGGGAGGCAGCAGUGGGGAAUUUUGGACAAUGGGCGCAAGCCUGAUCCAGCCAUGCCGCGUGCGGGAAGAAGGCCUUCGGGUUGUAAACCGCUUUUGUCAGGGAAGAAAUCCUUUGGACUAAUACUCUGGGGGGAUGACGGUACCUGAAGAAUAAGCACCGGCUAACUACGUGCCAGCAGCCGCCGUAA
rnacentral:rRNA from 1 species